rnacentral:rRNA from 1 species
CGUAGGGUGCAAGCGUUAAUCGGAAUUACUGGGCGUAAAGCGUGCGCAGGCGGUUUUGUAAGACAGGCGUGAAAUCCCCGGGCUUAACCUGGGAAUGGCGCUUGUGACUGCAAAGCUGGAGUGCGGCAGAGGGGGAUGGAAUUCCGCGUGUAGCAGUGAAAUGCGUAGAUAUGCGGAGGAACACCGAUGGCGAAGGCAAUCCCCUGGGCCUGCACUGACGCUCAUGCACGAAAGCGUGGGAGCAAACAGGAUU